GGCCAGGUAGCACAGCGGUUAGUGCGCGGAUGUUCAAUGGAACACUGCUACCCUCGUUCGAAUCGGGGUCUGGCCU